rnacentral:lncRNA from 1 species
GGGAUAUCUGUCAGGUAAGUGAAAGACAGGGGAAUGGAAAACACCUGAAGUCACAGGGAGAUUAAGAGAAAGGUUUGUGAGGUGCAAGGAGCAGGUGGAGAGAAGUGUCAGCUGUGGUUUUACUUGUUAGCAGAAAAGCACUGAAAACUGCUGCAGUGUUAUUUGGAGAAUCCUCCUGGCUCUGGAGGUUCCUUUCAUAGAACAAGGAGGAUAUGAACAUGGACAAAAUGACUUUGUGAUCCAGACCCACUUGUACGGUGAUGGCUGUGCUCUUCCAUGCAGAUCUUAGGCAAAACUGCAGUCCUUGGAACCGUGUGAGUUCUUCAUACUUCCUCCUGGAAGUGGCCCUUUUCUGCCUCUCCUCUGGGCAUUGCCAGGAGGGCCUGUGCCUUCCAUGCUCCUUUUGAACCACAGUUGUUUGUUUUGCAUUGUGCCACAUUUGUGUAGAAUUUGACCAAAUGACAUUAUGGGUGAGCAAUGGGAGGAUCAGCUUGCAAGGGA